UACAUUAUAAUGUAUGAAGCAUAAAAAUUUUUGAAAUUUUCAGAUUUAGUUUAAUUCUAAAAAAUGUAA
rnacentral:tRNA from 1 species